AGUGAACGCUGGCGGCAGGCCUAACACAUGCAAGUCGAACGGCAGCACAAGAGAGCUUGCUCUCUGGGUGGCGAGUGGCGGACGGGUGAGGAAUGCAUCGGAAUCUGCCCAUUUGUGGGGGAUAACCUCGGGAAACCGGGACUAAUACCGCAUACGACCUACGGGUGAAAGCAGGGGAUCUUCGGACCUUGCGCAGAUGGAUGAGCCGAUGCCGGAUUAGCUAGGUGGAGGGGUAAAGGCCCACCAAGGCGACGGUCCGAAGCUGGUCCGAGGGGAAGAUCACCCAGCCGGGGAGAGAGACACGGCACAGACUCCGACGCGGGGACACAGCGGAGAAUCUUGGAGGAGGGAGGAGAGCGUGAUACAGCAAUGCCGGGUGUGGGAAGAAGGACUUAGGGUUGUAGAGCACUUUAGUUGGGAAGGAAAAACAGCCGGUUUACACCCGGUUGUAAUGACGGUACCCAGAGAAUAAGCACCGGCUAACUUCGUG
rnacentral:rRNA from 1 species